CAGAGUCCUGUCAGUCAGAUUUACAGCAGGUGAAUUCAUCAAUUUCUCCCGAAAUAUAUGCAAUGCAUGAUUCAUCUAUUCCUUCUCAAGAGCCCCUCUUGAUCCAGGCUGCUUGAGAUCUUUUCACCCUCUCCUUUCAACUGGGCGAGUUUUUUUACUUCUGAUGGAAACAGACAUGUAUCCCUGGCCGUAGGAAAGAAAAUAAUCUUUUAUUCAGCAUCUCUGCAUGUUCCGUCUGGAUAUGCAUGUAGCAUGUAGAAGGAGGGAAAGACUCAUGCUUUUCCCCUGCACUCGUUCUUCUUCAGCAACAGACAGAUGAUGAUGGAGGCCUCACUGUUGAGUCUUAGGAUCAGCACAGUGGUGUGUGAUUGAUACCAGGGUUAGAAUCCCAAGUGAGGGUGAGUUAUUUUAUACACACCCACACUAAUUCACACUAAAGAUAUCCAAACCCUUGUACACACAGAAAUGUGCGCAAGGGCAUUGAUCAACUGUCUUGACAACUGUGAACACAUGUAUAUACGCCCACUAGCUCUCAUAGGGACAUAACUGUACAUCAAGCAGUAUUUGCUCUUAUAUUCUUGCUACUUCAAGUGACGGAUUGCAAAAGACAAUAAGAGAAAGAAAAGAAGUAAAUAAGCAUGCAGACUGGAUAUUAAUUCAGUUUGUGGGAGGUGUUUGAGUGAACGACUGGAGGGAGACUGAGAAUGAGAGAGUGCUUAACAUGAUUUACCCAAGUAGGACAUCCUUGUUGGUCCUGGAACAACAUUUGUAUCAACCAAUCAGAUUUUCGAGAUAAGAUUAGAGUUAUGGAUAGGGUUAAGCUUAGAUCUGAGGUUAGGCCAACAACAUUCUUAUCAUCUACUUACAGUAUGUCUGUCUGAUCAUAGGGGGUUGUUUAGGCUUAGGCUUAAAGGGAUAGUUCAUCCAAAAAUGAAAUUUCUGUCAUCAAAAAUCUGUAUGACUCUCUUUCUUCAGAAAAAAAAAAAAACUAAAAAACAUAAAAGAAGAUAUUUAAAAGAGUGUUUUAAGUUUUCUGUUUACAUUAAAGGGUUAGUUCACACAAAAAUGAAAUUGCCUUCAUUAAUUUCUCACCCUCAUGUCGUUCCAAACACACAAGACGGUUGAGCUGCUGUUUACCAUAUGUGAGAGCUGUAUGUUCGCUGAUCAGUGUUUAUACGUGAAUAAAAGUAUAAAUUAAAUCUAUUCAUCAUACAGUGACUGUGUCUCUUUAGAGGACUUGGAUUAAACCAAUCGAUUCAUAUGGAUUUUCUUUUACAAUCUCUGUAUGAACGUUUUGAAGCUUCAGAGUUUUUGGGUCAAUUGACUUUCAAUGGAUAGACAGAAAUAUCUCUGCUUUAAUGAAAAAUAUCUUCAUUUGUGUUUCGAAGAUGAAUGUGAGUCUUAUGGAUUUGAAAUGACAUGAGGGUGAGUAAAUGAUGACAAUUUUCACUUUUGGGUGAAAUAUCCUUUUAAGAAUAUGAAUGAGUGCUAAACUAAAGGUGGUGUGAAUCCAUACAGCAUGUGUGCUAUAUUGGAAGCAUCACAAUUGCUUUGCUCAAAUGAAAUCAAAACAUUGAUCAACACACACAUACACAGAUUUGUUUUGCCAUAUUUGAUAUAAUCUGUGUAUUUCGCCAUUUUUAUGCACAUAAUUGCAUACGUAAUUGUUCAUAAACACUACAUUUUUUUAUAUUUUUGAAAGAUGUCUAUUUUGCUCAUUAAGGCUGUAUUUAUUUGACCAAAAAUACAGUAAAAACAGUAAUAUUUUGAAACAUUUUGCAAAUUAAAAUAACUGUAGUCUAUUUUAAUGUUUUAAAAUGUUAUUCCUUGAAGUAUGAAAUAGCAGAAUUUUCAGGGUCAUUACUCCGGUCUUCAGUGUCACAUGAUCCUUCAGAAAUCAUUCUUUCUGAAUUAAAUUAUGAAUAUCAUAAAAAAAAUCUUAGUGAUCCCAAACUUUUGAAUGGUAGUGCAUAGUGGGUUGAUUUUUAGUUCCAGUCCAUCCCCAGGCUUAUGGUUUAGGUCUAUAAUUAUUCCAGGACUAACAAAGGAUGUUAAUCCAGGAUCGUCCUACUUCAAAUCAUGCAGUAAAGAGUUUGGGAGAAAGAGAAAUGAUAUGUGAUAGGGAGGUUUUUGUAAAGGUGUUUAGUACAUCCACCACAGAGACUUGGGUGACACUUGUGAAGUAAGACCUGUUUGGCUCUGUGUGAUACUCUGUACACCGAGGGCUCCUGUGGCCCACUAAUUAAACUGACAUUGCCUCCAGCUUCUUGCCCAUGGGCCGUCAUGCCAGUUGAUAAGGGCAUUAUGGGGGAGGGUGUUGUGAUAUGCGGUGGCCGUGGUCCUCUUGCCAGCAUCAGAUGUUCAGAAAUCAGAGUGUGAGCGUCUGCAGUGCCUGUUUCCAGAACAGAAGGGUUCAUCGAGCUCUGCUGCCCCGGCAGUACCGAGAUAAGAGCAGACAGAUGCACCCCAAUGUGCCUGACGCUGUUGAUAAUGAACAUGCACACACUAGCCUAACACUGUGCAAGCAACAAACAGUUUGUUUGUCCACAAUGAACACAAAACUGCUGCGCAUUGUGACAAUCAAAGCCUAUCAGAACAUAUUUGAAGUUGAAAGUUAAAAGUGAAGAUGAAUAACCUAUUGUAACCCAUUUACUUUUGUAAUAUUCAGAGCAGGAACUUAUGGAGGAUUUGGUGUGGUACUUAAAUUGAUAAUAUUUUCCUUUCUUUUUUUUUUUUUUUUUAAUUAAAAAAUAAUAAAACAAAUAAACAAACUUCUGUCAGGACCACUAUUGUCAAAUAUGAUAGAUAAUGCAUAGAGUAUGGUUC